CUAUGGCUCUAUCCAGGAAGGCAGCAGGCGCGUAAAUUGCCCGAAUCCUGACACAGGGAGGUAGUGACAAGAAAUAACAAUACAGGGCUACUUCUAGUCUUGUAAUUGGAAUGAGUACAACUUACAUCUCUUCACGAGGAUCAAUUGGAGGGCAAGUCUGGUGCCAGCAGCCGCGGUAAUUCCAGCUCCAAUAGCGUAUAUUAAAGUUGUUGCAGUUAAAAAGCUCGUAGUCGGAUUUCGGGGCGGGCCGAGCGGUCUGCCGAUGGGUAUGCACUGUUUGGCGCGGCCUUCUUUCCGGAGACCGCGCCUACUCUUAACUGAGCGGGCGCGGGAGACGGAUCGUUUACUUUGAAAAAAUCAGAGUGUUUCAAGCAGGCAGCUCGCUCUUGCAUGGAUUAGCAUGGGAUAAUUGAAUAGGACUCUGGUGCUAUUUUGUUGGUUUCGAACACCGGAGUAAUGAUUAACAGGGACAGUCAGGGGCACUCGUAUUCCGUCGAGAGAGGUGAAAUUCUCAGACCAAUGGAAGACGAACCACUGCGAAAGCAUUUGCCAGGGAUGUUUUCACUGAUCAAGAACGAAAGUUAGGGGAUCGAAGACGAUCAGAUACCGUCGUAGUCUUAACCAUAAACCAUGCCGACUAGGGAUUGGAGGGUGUUCUUUUCGACCCCUUCAGCACCUUACGGGAAACUAAAGUCUUUGGGUUCCGGGGGGAGUAUGGUCGCAAGGCUGAAACUUAAAGGAAUUGACGGAAGGGCACCACCAGGAGUGGAGCCUGCGGCUUAAUUUGACUCAACACGGGGAAACUUACCAGGUCCAGACAUGUUAGGAUUGACAGAUUGAGAGCUCUUUCUUGAUUCAUGGGUGGUGGUGCAUGGCCGUUCUUAGUUGGUGGAGUGAUUUGUCUGGUUAAUUCCGUUAACGAACGAGACCUUAACCUGCUAAAUAGUGACGCUACUCUUUGUAGGCGGCCAACUUCUUAGAGGGACAACUUGUGUUACAAGUGGAAGUUUGAGGCAAUAACAGGUCGGGGUGAUGCCCCA
rnacentral:rRNA from 1 species